GAUGAACGCUAGCGGCAGGCUUAAUACAUGCAAGUCGUGGGGCAGCAUGAGUAGCAAUACUUGAUGGCGACCGGCAAACGGGUGAGGAACACGUACACAACUUUCCUUCAAGCGGGGAAUAGCCCAGAGAAAUUUGGAUUAAUACCCCAUAAUAUAUUUGAUAAGGCAUCUUAUUAAUAUUAAAGCUUCGGCACUUGAUGAUGGGUGUGCGGCUGAUUAGAUAGUUGGCGGGGUAACGGCCCACCAAGUCUACGAUCAGUAGCUGAUGUGAGAGCAUGAUCAGCCACACGGGCACUGAGACACGGGCCCGGACUCCUACGGGAGGCGAGCACGUAAGGAAUAUUGGACAAUGGACGAAAGUCUGAU
rnacentral:rRNA from 1 species